GCAGCGCGGUAAUACGUAUGGUGCAAGCGUUAUCCGGAUUUACUGGGUGUAAAGGGAGCGCAGGCGGUGCGGCAAGUCUGAUGUGAAAGCCCGGGGCUCAACCCCGGUACUGCAUUGGAAACUGUCGUACUAGAGUGUCGGAGGGGUAAGUGGAAUUCCUAGUGUAGCGGUGAAAUGCGUAGAUAUUAGGAGGAACACCAGUGGCGAAGGCGGCUUACUGGACGAUAACUGACGCUGAGGCUCGAAAGCGUGGGGAGCAA
rnacentral:rRNA from 1 species